CGCGCAGGCGGAACAGAAAGUCAGAGGUGAAAUCCCAGGGCUCAACCUUGGAACUGCCUUUGAAACUCCUGUUCUUGAGGUCGAGAGAGGUGAGUGGAAUUCCGAGUGUAGAGGUGAAAUUCGUGGAUAUUCGGAGGAACACCAGUGGCGAAGGCGGCUCACUGGCUCGAUACUGACGCUGAGGUGCGAAAGCGUGGGGAGCAAACA
rnacentral:rRNA from 1 species